CCCUUUUAUUUUUGUAUUUAGAAAUGAAAAUGAUCACAUCAUUGCAAUUUACAUAAUUUUUUAUAUAGAAAUACUAUGUGGGGAUUGAUACCAAUAGUGGAGUAUUGGUUUGAUAACUAAGCAAGAAUUAGAGUACAAAAAUGUGGGGUAAAUUUUUAACAAGUGACCUGCCAACCAACGACAGUUGGAACUAGUAAAGAGUUAGUCUUUCACAAUGUGACAAUCAGAAAAAUAGGUAUGCUUUUUAUUUGUUGAACAUAACAGGUAUCAAAUUCAUUUCAAAAACGUAUGCAAGCUACUAAAGUUAUAAAUUUUUUUAUUGAAAAG
rnacentral:lncRNA from 1 species